rnacentral:rRNA from 1 species
CAAAUAUGAAGGCGGGCUGGAACCUCUCGGGGGUUACAGCCUUGCUGAAUUAUUCACCCUUGUCUUUUGCGUACUUCUUGUUUCCUUGGUGGGUUCGCCCACCACUAGGACAAACAUAAACCUUUUGUAAUUGCAAUCAGCGUCAGUAACAAAUUAAUAAUUACAACUUUCAACAACGGAUCUCUUGGUUCUGGCAUCGAUGAAGAACGCAGCGAAAUGCGAUAAGUAGUGUGAAUUGCAGAAUUCAGUGAAUCAUCGAAUCUUUGAACGCACAUUGCGCCCUUUGGUAUUCCAAAGGGCAUGCCUGUUCGAGCGUCAUUUGUACCCUCAAGCUUUGCUUGGUGUUGGGCGUCUUGUCUCUAGCUUUGCUGGAGACUCGCCUUAAAGUAAUUGGCAGCCGGCCUACUGGUUUCGGAGCGCAGCACAAGUCGCACUCUCUAUCAGCAAAGGUCUAGCAUCCAUUAAGCCUUUUUUCAACUUUUGACCUCGGAUCAGGUAGGGAUACCCGCUGAACUUAAGCAUAUCAAUA